UUGCAUCGAUGAAAGACGCAGCGAAAUGCGAUAAGUAAUGUGAAUUGCAGAAUUCAGUGAAUCAUCGAAUCUUUGAACGCACCUUGCGCCCUUUGGUAUUCCGAAGGGCACACCUGUUUGAGUGUCGUGAAAUCAUCAACCCUCCUCACUUUUGUGAUGGUAGUUGGCUUGGACUUGGAGGCUUUGCCGGCUUUGUUCGGCUCCUCUCAAAUGCAUUAGUGCGUCUCGUUGCGAUGGUACCCUCGGUGUGAUAAUUAUCUACGCCGUGUGAUGUGCUUCGCUUCUUGUGGGGAUGUGCUUCAAACCGUCCUCAUGGACAAUUCAUCGAAACUUGACCUCAAAUCAGGUGGGACUACCCGCUGAACUUAAGCAUAUCAAUAAAGCGGAGGAAAAGAAACUAACAAGGAUUCCCCUAGUAACUGCGAGUGAAGCGGGAAAAGCUCAAAUUUAAAAUCUGGC
rnacentral:sRNA from 1 species